GACGAACGCUGGCGGCGUGCUUAACACAUGCAAGUCGAACGGAAAGGCCCUGCUUUUGUGGGGUGCUCGAGUGGCGAACGGGUGAGUAACACGUGAGUAACCUGCCCUUGACUUUGGGAUAACUUCAGGAAACUGGGGCUAAUACCGGAUAGGAGCUCCUGCUGCAUGGUGGGGGUUGGAAAGUUUCGGCGGUUGGGGAUGGACUCGCGGCUUAUCAGCUUGUUGGUGGGGUAGUGGCUUACCAAGGCUUUGACGGGUAGCCGGCCUGAGAGGGUGACCGGCCACAUUGGGACUGAGAUACGGCCCAGACUCCUACAGGAGGCAGCAGUGGGGAAUAUUGCCCAAUGGGCGGACGCCUGAUGCAGCAACGCCGCGUGCGGGAUGACGGCCUUCGGGUUGUAAACCGCUUUCGCCUGUGACGAAGCGUGAGUGACGGUAAUGGGUAAAGAAGCACCGGCUAACUACGUG
rnacentral:rRNA from 1 species